GUGGCCGGCGAAGGGGCAGUGCUUCCGGGUAGGAGCGAGGUGACCCCGGCGGCUGCAGGAACCUGCGGCUACUGCAGCCAUGGGGGCGCAUCUCGCCCGGCGCUACGUGACCGAUCCGUCGGGGGAACCCGACCCCCAGCGGAUGCCCACCUUCCCCCCCGACUACGGCUUCCCGGGUCGCAAGGAGCGCGAGGGGGUGGGCACACAGCCAGGAAGUGCCGCGGCCAGCGCAGACGCACCCACUUGGGCCCACAGCCCCCGCCACACCACCACCACCACUCCGAAGAGUGGGGUUAGAUGCCAACGGGG